UACGGAGGGUGCGAGCGUUGUCCGGAUUUAUUGGGUUUAAAGGGUGCGUAGGUGGCCCUGUAAGUCAGUGGUGAAAUACAGCCGCUUAACGGUUGAGGUGCCAUUGAUACUGCAGGGCUUGAAACAAGUGGAGGCUGCCGGAAUGGAUGGUGUAGCGGUGAAAUGCAUAGAUAUCAUCCAGAACACCGAUUGCGAAGGCAGGUGGCUACGUUUGAUUUGACACUGAGGCACGAAAGCAUGGGGAGCAAACAGG
rnacentral:rRNA from 1 species